GACGAACGCUGGCGGCGUGCUUAACACAUGCAAGUCGAGCGGUAAGGCUCUUUCGGGGGUACACGAGCGGCGAACGGGUGAGUAACACGUGGGUGACCUGCCCUCAGCUCUGGGAUAAGCCUGGGAAACCGGGUCUAAUACCGGAUAUGACUCCAUGACGCAUGUUGUGGGGUGGAAAGCCUUGUGCGGCUGAGGAUGGGCCCGCGGCCUAUCAGCUUGUUGGUGGGGNGAUGGCCUACCAAGGCGACGACGGGUAGCCGGCCUGAGAGGGCGACCGGCCACACUGGGACUGAGACACGGCCCAGACUCCUACGGGAGGCAGCAGUGGGGAAUCUUGCGCAAUGGGCGAAAGCCUGACGCAGCGACGCCGCGUGAGGGAUGACGGCCU
rnacentral:rRNA from 1 species